rnacentral:tRNA from 1 species
UUAAUUGAAACCAAAUUAGAGGUAACUUAUUGUUAAUAAGAAAAAUGAAUAAAAUUCCGAUUAAA